UUAUGUAUUUGUCUUUAUUAUUUCACCUGGAUAAUCUUCUCUCUGAUCCAAUUGUGUGCUUGUUAAGAAUCAAGGAAAAUGUCUUACAUCCUUUCAUCUCUUAGAGCUGCUGGACAAAUAGGUGCCAGUUUUUGAUGAUGGGUAUCGUGAAUGCUGUUGCAAAGGCCAAUCCCUAAAGAGUUGUUGAAGCUGCCUAACUGAGGUUCACCCACAAGUCUUCCUGAAUAAGAAAGUAGAGGAAUGAAACCAUGUUCCAGUUGAGCCCAUCAAGGUUUGAAAUAGAGCUCCAGAAGGGACUGAACCACACCUGGUCUUCAGGAUCCUUCUCUCAGUACCAUCAAUCAGACAAAUCAAGCCUCCAUGGGAAUUUUUACACAGAGAGACUAGGGAACAAGGAAGGGUCCCCUGUUCCAGGAUGCAGACUCAGCCAAGGAGACUACAAUACCACCUGCAUCUCACUCCAGCUGGAGAAGUGAAAACUCACAGCCACGAUGUUUGAGCGUCAAGCUCCAUGGGAAUCUACAGUUAUUUCAAAAUAAAAAAUUAAUUAAAAGAACGAAAAGAUGGAGGCAAAGUCAGGGAAACAAGUAUGGCCGUUUGUCAGUUAUGGCACGGCCUCAGAAUUGACAUCAUGAUGGCCAGUGAUCUGACUACUACAGAAUCCUCAGCCUUCAUGGAUUUGUUCACGUACUCCGCCAAGUGCUGCAGACAUCCUCAAGUUUCAGUGCCAAGAACUGGAGGAAAAAGGAUGUUUAUGUCAAUCAAAGAGCACUUGGAGCUUUCUGGUGGUCAUUCAAGGCUUCACCGCAUCACAUAGCCUUUUAAUAUACUAUUUUUGACCAUCCAAACAGACUGGUGGUCACAGGAGGUGUUUUGUUUUAUUUCCUCAAAGACAUGUGAACUCAUUUUUAACUUCAGCAUUGGUUUCCUGAAAAGCUGCUGGUGUUCAUAAGAUUCAGUGCAGCUGAACACAGGAGAAGCCCUUCUGUUGAGGUGGCCACCCACAGUGAAAACACUACAUCAACUGAGGGAGCCAAUCAUACCCUGCUGAUCCAGAGCCCCGUAGAACUCAAAAGAGGCUGGAGAAGGCAGAAGCGGCACCUCUUCUUAUUCAGUGAUUUGAUACCUAUGUCUAAUACCAAGUGCAUAUACAUUACAUGCUCUCCCACUUAUCAUACAGUUCCACGUUUGCUAACCCUUACUGUAAGAAAAUAUGACAGGCAGUGUCUGUCUUGCCUGGGGCUUACGAGACAGGUGAUAAAAAUAAGAGGGGGAAAUUACAGAUUGUGAUUAGUGCUCCUGAUACAAAGUAGCUAGGGUACCAUGUAGAAGAUGGUACCAUAUUACAGAGGGGUUGUCCAGGAGGACCUCUCAAGGUGGCAGCCUCUAAGCUGGACCUGUGGGGGGAGAAGCAGCCACCAUUUCUAGCCAAGGUGGCUGGGCCUUCUAGGCUGAGGGAGCAGCAGGCGUAAGUGGGUGCAGCUUAGCCCCCUGGAGGGAGGAGUUCAGGGAAAGCCAGUGUGACUGGAGCCUAAAGUGGGGGGCACGAUAUUGGAUAUGAUACUGGAGUCAGGAGUCCAGCCACACAGGGUCUCCACAGGCCUUAGUAAGGGGCUGAAAUACUAUGCUGAAGGGUGUUUAACUAGGACAGUAACCAUAUCUGGUUUAUAUUUUUAGCAAAAUUUUCUGACUAUUGGUAGAUGAUGGAUUUUUGAGUAAGCAAGAGUGGAAGCAGGGUGACAAGU